UACGAAGGGGGCUAGCGUUGCUCGGAAUCACUGGGCGUAAAGGGUGCGUAGGCGGGUUUUUAAGUCAGGGGUGAAAUCCUGGAGCUCAACUCCAGAACUGCCUUUGAUACUGAAGAUCUUGAGUCCGGGAGAGGUGAGUGGAACUGCGAGUGUAGAGGUGAAAUUCGUAGAUAUUAGGAAGAACACCAGUGGCGAAGGCGGCUCACUGGUCCGGUACUGACGCUGAGACGCGAAAGCGUGGGGAGCGAACAGG
rnacentral:rRNA from 1 species